rnacentral:rRNA from 1 species
AACGCACCUUGCGCUCCUUGGUAUUCCGAGGAGCAUGCCUGUUUGAGUGUCAUUAAAUUCUCAACUUUGCUUGUCUUUUUGUGGUCGAGCAAAGCUUGGAUUUUGGAGCGUGCUGGCGAAGGUCGGCUCCUCUUUAAAUGCAUUAGCGGAAAGGUCAUAUUUGAACUUUUGCGGUGAAUCGGCGUGAUAAUAACGUUGUUGCGUCGUCGACCCAAAAGCUCUCUGUCCGCUUACAACGGUCUUCGGACGACUUAUCAUGAAACUUGACCUCAAAUCAGGUAGGACUACCCGCUGAACUUAA